AUCCAACCUGCCGUCUACUCUUGGACAGCCUUCUGAAAGGAAGAUUAAUACAAGAUGGCAUCAUGAGUCCGCAUGUUCACAUGAUUAAAGGUAUUCCGGUAGACGAUGGGGAUGCGUUCCAUUAGAUAGUAGGCGGGGUAACGGCCCACCUAGUCUUCGAUGGAUAGGGGUUCUGAGAGGAAGGUCCCCCACAUUGGAACUGAGACACGGUCCAAACUCCUACGGGAGGCAGCAGUGAGGAAUAUUGGUCAAUGGGCGCAGGCCUGAACCAGCCAAGUAGCGUGAAGGAUGACUGCCCUAUGGGUUGUAAACUUCUUUUAUAAAGGAAUAAAGUCGGGUAUGUAUACCCGUUUGCAUGUACUUUAUGAAUAAGGAUCGGCUAACUCCGUGCCAGCAGCCGCGGUAAUACGGAGGAUCCGAGCGUUAUCCGGAUUUAUUGGGUUUAAAGGGAGCGUAGAUGGAUGUUUAAGUCAGUUGUGAAAGUUUGCGGCUCAACCGUAAAAUUGCAGUUGAUACUGGAUAUCUUGAGUGCAGUUGAGGCAGGCGGAAUUCGUGGUGUAGCGGUGAAAUGCUUAGAUAUCACGAAGACUCCGAUUGCGAAGGCAGCCUGCUAAGCUGCAACUGACAUUGAGGCUCGAAAG
rnacentral:rRNA from 1 species